rnacentral:rRNA from 1 species
CCUACGGGAGGCAGCAGUGGGGAAUAUUGGGCAAUGGGCGCAAGCCUGACCCAGCAACGCCGCGUGAAGGAAGAAGGCUUUCGGGUUGUAAACUUCUUUUCGCAGGGACGAAGCAAGUGACGGUACCGGAGGAAUAAGCCACGACUAACUACGUGCCAGCAGCCGCGGUAAUACGGAGGUGGCAGUCGUUAGCCGGAUUUACUGGGUGUAAGGGGCGCGUAGGCGGGAAGGCAAGUCAGAUGUGAAAACCAUGGGCUCAACCUGUCGACUGCAUUUGAAACUGUUUUUCUUGAGUACUGGAGAGGCAGAUGGAAUUCCGGGUGUAGCGGUGAAAUGCGUAGAUAUUAGGAGGAACACCAGUGGCGAAGGCGGUCUGCUGGCCAGCAACUGACGCUGAGGAGCGAAAGCGUGGGGAGCAAACAGGAUUAGAUACCCGAGUAGUC